ACUGUUUUGGCAGAGAAUAUGCAUUAAAUUUAGGAUUUAAUUAUAUAGUAUACCUAUAAAUAGUA
rnacentral:tRNA from 1 species